rnacentral:rRNA from 1 species
CCUACGGGGGGCAGCAGUGGGGAAUAUUGGACAAUGGGCGAAAGCCUGAUCCAGCCAUGCCGCGUGUGUGAAGAAGGCCUUCGGGUUGUAAAGCACUUUCAGUGGGGAAGAAAGCCUUGGGGCUAAUACCCUCGAGGAAGGACAUCACCCACAGAAGAAGCACCGGCUAACUCCGUGCCAGCAGCCGCGGUAAUACGGAGGGUGCGAGCGUUAAUCGGAAUUACUGGGCGUAAAGCGCGCGUAGGCGGUCUGAUAAGCCGGUUGUGAAAGCCCCGGGCUCAACCUGGGAACGGCAUCCGGAACUGUCAGGCUAGAGUACAGGAGAGGAAGGUAGAAUUCCCGGUGUAGCGGUGAAAUGCGUAGAGAUCGGGAGGAAUACCAGUGGCGAAGGCGGCCUUCUGGACUGACACUGACGCUGAGGUGCGAAAGCGUGGGUAGCAAACAGGAUUAGAUACCCUAGUAGUC